rnacentral:lncRNA from 1 species
CUAAAAAUAUAAUUUCUUCGUAACAAAAUAUUUAGAUGUACAUGGAAAAAAAACCUUGAGAGAUCGAAGUAUUAGAAAUAUUUAAGAAAGAUAAACUGUGUAAAAGAACUGGAUGUAAGUAAAUCUUAUUUAAAAAAAAGUGUUCUGGUAUUUAAAUAUCGAUUAUCAGUAUGAAAGUAUCAUUUUUGUUUAUAUGUUUUGAAUUGAACUUGUUCCAAUAUGACAAUACAAUUCUGCUUACUUGAUGUAUUAUUGUUGUCUUCUUGAUUUCCUUAUAUGAAAAGUUUGAUAACAAUGUAAGAACAAAAGACGAAAGAGUAUACAAGUACUGAUUUAUUUCAAUGAUAUGAAUACAAGGUGUCUAGUUAAUGCAUAGGUUAUCAUAAAUGAUAGAACGACAUUUUAUUACAGUAAAAGGAUCAUUUGAAAAUUUAAAUCAACAUGACGUUUCUGUAGUUUAAAAAAUGGGUUUAUUUACAACCUAAGUGUUUUAUAAUAGGUAAAUAUAGAGCGGAUCGACCUGUUUAAAACCUUCAUUGUUACACACAGGUAUAACAAACAACUAAGUCAAGCAUAUACAUUGUAGAAAUUUAGUUUUCUUUAUUUCCACUUUAUAUAUUCAUGUUUGACAUUAACAUCUUAGCCCGUUUGACUUAUAAAUGCAAAAAAAAGUUACAUGUUAAAGAAUACAUGGUAUAUGCACCUGUCAACAAUGUCAAAUUAAGCUACAGUACUUUUCAAAACGCUCAUGGACAUCGUGUUAUGGUAAAGUACAAAUACACAUCUUCAUGUGGAGAACACUUAACGCAAAAUGUUAACACCUAUAUAAACUAGAUGUGACAGAACGACACAAAUGUUCCCGUUGGCAAAACAAGCCUUAAGCUAUUUUUAGAAGCGGAGAAGCGAACCAAAGUCCCUAAUUUUGGCAAAAUUCAGCGGAGCUGGACGAACCAUAAACUUGGUCUGUCACUCAUCAUUGUAGACUUACAUACUUCAUACUUUAAAUCAGCUCAAUAUGUGAAUGUGUUUAAAACAAAUAACUGUCCGUUGUUGAAUGACGGAAUGACAGAGUGACAGAGUGGCAGUAUGACAGAGUAAUUAAAUGACGGAAUAGUGGAAUGCCUGAAUGUCGAAUGAAGACAUGAAAUUGGAAGAAAAGGAUACACCUAUAUGUAUAUAAUCCGUGCUAAGUAGGCGGGGCCAUGACAUUGGUAAAUAGCCGUCUUGAUGAAUAUACAAUUAUAGCAUAUUUUUAAUGUAUUUAAUCGAACUUGUUCUCAUAUGACAAUGCAAUUUAUGCAAUUAUUUCUUCUUGAUCUCGUCUGAAUUUUCAUCUAAAAGUUAAAUAACAAUGUAAGAACGACAAAAUAGUUUUAUAAGUUCUGAUUUAUUUCAAUGAUAUGAACAAAAGUUGUCUGGUUUAUGCAUAGAUUAGCAUAAAUGAUAGGACAACAUUGUAUUACAGAAAAAUGGUCUUUGAAAUUUUCAUAUAACAUUGCAUGUUUGAAAUUAAGCGUUUUUUUACAACCUAAAAUGGUUAAAUAUUAUAUAAUUUAGGUAAAUAUAGAGCGGAUCGACCUGUUUAAAACUUGCCUUGUUAUACACAGGUAUAACAACCAAGUAAAAUACAUUGUAGAUAUUUAAUUUUCUUUAUUUUCGUUUAAUAUAUAGAUGUUUUGACACUAACAUCUUGGACCGUUUGACAGAAACAUUUAUCUAUAAAAUGCAACAAAAUAAAUCAUAUUACAUCUAGAAUUUAAUCAAAUUCAAAAAUUGACAAUAAGACCUAAAUAUAGAAUUAAAUAUGAAUACAUAGUAUGCGCCUGUAGUCAAUGUCAAAUUCAGCUUCAGUUCUUUUCGAAACACUCAUCAACAUCGUGUUUUUGUGAAUCUCAAAUACACAUCUUCAUGUGGAGAACACUAAACACAAAAUGUUAACACCAAUAUAAACUGGAUGUGACAGAACGAUGCAAAUGAUCCCGCUGGCAAAACAAGCCUUUAGCUAUUUUUAGAAGUUGAAUGUUCAAAGACCAAAGUCCCUAAUUUUGGCAAAAAUCAGCAGAGCGGGACAAACGUAAACUUGGUCUGUCACUCAUCAUUGUAGACUCACAUACGUCAUAAUUCAAAUCAGCUCAAUAUGAGAAAGCGUUUUAAAACAAAUAACUGUCCGUUGCAGAAUGACUGAAUGACAGAGUGAUGAAAUGACGGAGUUACAGAUUGACGGAAUAGCGGAAUGACAAAAAGACGGGAUGCCGAAUGAAGAAAUGAAAUUGAAAAUAAAGGGAAAAACUAUAUGGUCCGUGCUAAGAAGGCGGGGCCAUGAAAUUGGUAAAGAGCCGUCGUGAUAAAUAUACAAGUAUAGCCUUUGACCGGAGUCGACACAGGAUAUAUUGACAUAAAGAAGUAAAUUGUGCGAGGACGAUUUUUAACCUUUUUCAGCUAGACCAAAUCACUAGGUUACUUAAAUUCAAAUGACCCAAAUAGUUUUACAUUGUAAUUUCACCCCCCUUCUUGCUAUUUGGAGCAUACAAUAUUAAAAAAAAAGUUGAAAGGUGUGUAAAGAAAAUAGCAAGUAACACAUUUACAUACUAGGGACUUUAUUCGUAGUCAACAAAAAUCAAAAGACGAUAACUGUCUUUCCAGUCUAUCAUAUGUAUUCUAAAAUAUGUUUUUAAGUUAUCGAUCAUAAAUUUACACUUUUUAAAAACUUUUACAAAUAUUAUGAACUUCACGAGAUGACGUAACAAAAGAUAUCGCUUUUUAUAUAUUCUAAACAAACCAUGCAAUAUCACUUUUCUUUCCACCGUUUUCAAUCGACCUUUGAAAAUAUAGUUUUACAUAUGACUAUUCCUAAACGAUGAAAUAAGUAAAAAUAUCCAAACUAAUAAUACUGUGAUAAAUGCACAAUUUUUUGUAAGAAAAAAGAAACAUCCUCACAAAUGAAAAUUGUUGAAACCAGAAAACAAGAGUCCACCAUUAAAAAAUUAAAAUGUUUACAAGAUGUAUACAGGAAGAUUUUAUUUUAAUCUUAAAUCAUUGUAUACCAGAAGAAUUUUUAUUACUUCUAUAUCAUUUACUACUUUUUUUAUAAGUCUCAUUACAUGAACACUCAGAGGACAAUGGUAUAUUUUGUUUAACGAUUUUAUAAAGCACAAGGACACAUAUUAAUUUAGUUCUGUUCCCCUGAAUAUAAUAUAUCGUAUAAUAUAUGUAGUCUGUUUGAAUUAUAUCACAAUGUAUUUGUCAUCACAUUUAAAAAUUCAAUGAAUGUUUUGUUAGGAUAAUGUUCUUCAUUUUAAAAAUUCAUUUUGUAUUUGGCCUUUUUUUUAAAUUAUUCGAGAUUCGUGGAUGAGUCAUUUGUGUUGGAAACGCGGUUCUUGCAUACAAAAUUGUAAUCCUUUUAUCUAUGAUGAGUUUAGUAUGCAAAUAGAGAAUCAGUUUUUUAAUAUCUUGGUGCAAAUUAUAAAUAGGUUAAAAUAUGAUUAAAUAGAAUUGAUUAAAUCCGUUCUUACCUAAAUAACAUGAAUUGUUAUCGACAGAAACAGUUUGGAUGAUCUAAUUACAAUUCAACAAAAUGCAUUUAAAUAUUAAGGUAUCUUAUUACUGCCAAGUGUUAAAUGUUCAUAUUUCAAAGAAUUGUCAUGUAAUUUAAUUAUUAUUAUUUUUCUCUCUGGCAUGUUGCAUUUUAAUCUAGAUAUCAAAUGUCGAUUGCAUAGGUGAGACCUACCCAUGCAAAACACGAAUAGGUAAAAUCUUCAUUGUAAAAGAAUUGCCCUUCUGUCCCUAAUAAUGGUGACUUCUUGGCGACAUAUUUGAAGUUCUGAGAAACAUCAACACAGCUGUCAUCUAUCUACAUAUGUUGUGUUUUAAUUUCUCAUUAAUGGCUUACAAGAUAUACAUACGUGUUGUAGUCCUCGCAUCUUUACUAUGAUGAUUUCAAAUUAUUCUGUAUCUUUGCACUGGUUCAUUUUACUGUUGUCAAAUUUACUGAAAGUUCUUUCAACGGUCUAAUCUAUAUAAAAAAAAAACGAGAAACGAGACACACGUAUAAAUUACAUAAACAAACGACAACUACUGUACAUCAGAUUACUUACUUCGGACAGGUGCAAACAUUUGCAGCGGGAUUAAACGUUUAAUGGUAGCAAAACUUCUCCCUUUUUCUGAAACAAUAGUAUAACAUCACAACAUAGAAAAACACACGAUAAAAUAUCAAUUGGAAAGCUUAACUCAAUCAAAAAACGUAAAUUAACACAUUAUGAACGAAUAAACUUGAUCUGUGAUACCUGAAUGCAAAAACAUAGUUAAUAAAAUAUUAGGAACACACAUUCAUGUUUGGCUUAUUAUACCCCCACAGUGUUGAUUAAAUAAUGAACAGAUAAACGAUUUGAUAGGUUUCAUCAGUUGAACAAUUUUCAAUAAAAGUAUCGUGACAAUAACCUAUCUGUCUUGUUAACAAGAUAGACGAUUCUUUACGUCUUACACCAUCUGAUAUUACUACCAAACACAUGUAUGUUAUUGAUAUAAUCAAAUUUAUGUCAUGAAUUUGAUAUCAUCAUUGGUUAUAUUAUUCCUUUGAAAACACAUCAUUACUCACGCUGCUUGCCUUUUCACAAUAUACCCAUUAUUAUAUCGUUAUUUUAAUAAGAAUUUGGACUAUUAGUUCUUACAUUAUAUGCACUGUUGGUUUUUUACUUUUUACAAAUUAUUAUUUAAAAUCUAAUAACAAACAACAUGUUUCUAAUUUUUUUUUAAAUGGGAAUUAGGACUAUUAGAUUCUUUCAUUAUAUGCACUGUUGACUUCAUACUUUUGAAAAAUAAUUAGUUAAAAGUUGAUUACAAAAAAUGCUUUUUAUUAAGUUUUUUAAUGUUUUAUCAUGGUUUGCACGACAGUCAAAACAAUCCGAUCUUCAUCUUGUACAAAAGAUAGUCUGAUGAAGAACCUUGAUUGUAUAGCAUUCCUUGCAUAAAGUGCAAUCAUGUCUUUUCUCGGUCGUGAACCAUAAACAGAUUUAGCGACUUGGUUACUUCCUGGCUCAUUGUGUCGUCUGCUGGACCAAUUUAACUAUUCUUAUAGCUUAACUAUUGUACAAUUUUUACCUAUUUUCCUCUUCCUAAUUUUUUUCCAUUUUUACUUCCUAGUCUGUUUUUUAAUGUUUAGAAUCCGAUUUUUGUUAAAUAAGGUACAAAAAUUUAACUAAAUCACAAAUGCAAUAAUUUUUAUACUUUUUAUCUUUCAAGAACCGUCGCAAUAUUUCAAUGGAGUAUCUCACCAUAGUUAUCACACGUUUUUACUUAAUUGUCUACUUGACUGGUAUGGUUGGCGGCACCAAUGAAUUUAGAUAUACAACACAUAAAAACA